rnacentral:rRNA from 1 species
CCCGCUGAACUUAAGCAUAUCAAUAAGCGGAGGAAAAGAAACCAACAGGGAUUACCCUAGUAACGGCGAGUGAAGCGGUAAUAGCUCAAAUUUGAAAUCUGACCUUUACGGGUUCGAGUUGUAAUUUGUAGAAGAUGCUUCGGGUGUGGCCCUGGUCUAAGUUCCUUGGAACAGGACGUCAUAGAGGGUGAGAAUCCCGUAUGUGACUGGGUGCCUAUGCUCAUGUGAAGCUCUUUCGACGAGUCGAGUUGUUUGGGAAUGCAGCUCAAAAUGGGUGGUAUAUUUCAUCUAAAGCUAAAUAUUGGCCAGAGACCGAUAGCGCACAAGUAGAGUGAUCGAAAGAUGAAAAGCACUUUGGAAAGAGAGUUAAACAGUACGUGAAAUUGUUGAAAGGGAAGCGCUUGCAACCAGACUUGCACGCUGUCGAUCAUCCGAGAUUCUUCCCGGUGCACUCGAUUGCGUUCAGGCCAGCAUCGGUUUUGGUGGUUAGAUAAAGGCCUUAGGAACGUAGCUUCUCUCGGGGAGUGUUAUAGCCUUCGGUGCAAUGUAGCCUACUGGGACCGAGGACCGCGCUUCGGCUAGGAUGCUGGCGUAAUGGUUGUAAGCGACCCGUCUUGAAACACGG